GCAUUGGUGCUUCAGUGGUAGAAUUCCCACCUUUCACGAAGGAGACCCAGAUUUGAUUCCUGGCCGGUGCA
rnacentral:tRNA from 1 species